rnacentral:rRNA from 1 species
UACGUAGGUGACCAGCGUUGUCCGGAAUUACUGGGCGUAAAGGGCGCGUAGGCGGCCCGCUAAGUCGAACGUGAAAUCCCCGAGCUCAACUCGGGAACUGCGUCCGAUACUGGCGGGCUUGAAUCCGGGAGAGGGAUGCGGAAUUCCAGGUGUAGCGGUGAAAUGCGUAGAUAUCUGGAGGAACACCGGUGGCGAAGGCGGCAUCCUGGACCGGCAUUGACGCUGAGGCGCGAAAGCUAGGGGAGCAAACGGG